rnacentral:misc_RNA from 1 species
UACGUGGGUGGCAAGCGUUGUCCGGAAUUAUUGGGCGUAAAGCGCGCGCAGGCGGUCUUUUAAGUCUGAUGUGAAAGCCCCCGGCGCAACCGGGGAGGGUCAUUGGAAACUGGCAGACUUGAGUGCAGAAGAGGAGAGUGGAAUUCCAUGUGUAGCGGUGAAAUGCGCAGAGAUAUGGAGGAACACCAGUGGCGAAGGCGACUCUCUGGUCUGUAACUGACGCUGAGGUGCGAAAGCGUGGGGAGCGAACAGG